rnacentral:rRNA from 1 species
AUGGGAACCGCGGCAAAUGUUCCUGGUCCAACCAGGACUGAGCUAGGAGCUAGGGCUAUUGACGGAGCUGUGCAAGGAGAAGAAGGAGAGGAUGAGGUUGGUUCUCAACCUAUGGAACCCUAUGUUGGCAUGAGGUUUGACAGCCUUCAAAUUGCUAAGGAUCACUACAACAGCUAUGCACUACGGAUGGGUUUCUCUGUCAAGAUGAACACCUCUAGGCAGACACCCCACACCAAUGUAUUGGUAAAACAACAGUUUUGCUGCAACAAGUUCAAGAAGGCCAAAGCUGAUGAUGGAGGAGCUGAGGCUCCUCCUGUCCUGGAACCUAUUCCAGAUCCAACAACUGUUGACAGUGAUGAGGAAAUGGAAGAUGAACCUCCAAUCUUUGCUGAAGAGGAGGCUGGUCCUAGUAAGAAGGAGAAGAAACGGAAACGCGAGACAAUAAAGUAG